AGUGAACGCUGGCGGCAGGCCUAAUACAUGCAAGUCGAACGGCAGCACAGUGGAGCUUGCUCCAUGGGUGGCGAGUGGCGGACGGGUGAGGAAUACAUGGGAAUCUGCCCAGUCGUGGGGGAUAACGUAGGGAAACUUACGCUAAUACCGCAUGCGCCCUUCGGGGGAAAGCCGGGGACCUUCGGGCCUUGCGCGUUUGGAUGAGCCCAUGUUGGAUUAGCUAGUUGGCGGGGUAAAGGCCCACCAAGGCGACGAUCGAUAGCUGGUCUGAGAGGAUGAUCAGCCACACUGGGACUGAGACACGGCCCAGACUCCUACGGGAGGCAGCAGUAGGGAAUAUUGGACAAUGGGCGCAAGCCUGAUCCAGCCAUGCCGCGUGAGUGAAGAAGGCCCUCGGGUUGUAAAGCUCUUUUGUCCGGGAAGAAAAGCAUCGGGCUAAUACCUCGGUGUUCUGACGGUACCGGAAGAAUAAGCACCGGCUAACUUCGUG
rnacentral:rRNA from 1 species